GGCCGGUUAGCUCAGUCAGUUGAGCGUGGCACUAACAACGCCAAGGCCAUGGGUUUGAUUCCCAUUCGGUCC
rnacentral:tRNA from 1 species